GAUGAACGCUGGCGGCGUGCCUAAUACAUGCAAGUCGAGCGAACGGACGAGAAGCUUGCUUCUCUGAUGUUAGCGGCGGACGGGUGAGUAACACGUGGAUAACCUACCUAUAAGACUGGGAUAACUUCGGGAAACCGGAGCUAAUACCGGAUAAUAUUUUGAACCGCAUGGUUCAAAAGUGAAAGACGGUCUUGCUGUCACUUAUAGAUGGAUCCGCGCUGCAUUAGCUAGUUGGUAAGGUAACGGCUUACCAAGGCAACGAUCCAUAGCCGACCUGAGAGGGUGAUCGGCCACACUGGAACUGAGACACGGUCCAGACUCCUACGGGAGGCAGCAGUAGGGAAUCUUCCGCAAUGGGCGAAAGCCUGACGGAGCAACGCCGCGUGAGUGAUGAAGGUCUUCGGAUCGUAAAACUCUGUUAUUAGGGAAGAACAUAUGUGUAAGUAACUGUGCACAUCUUGACGGUACCUAAUCAGAAAGCCACGGCUAACUACGUGCCAGCAGCCGCGGUAAUACGUAGGUGGCAAGCGUUAUCCGGAAUUAUUGGGCGUAAAGCGCGCGUAGGCGGUUUUUUAAGUCUGAUGUGAAAGCCCACGGCUCAACCGUGGAGGGUCAUUGGAAACUGGAAAACUUGAGUGCAGAAGAGGAAAGUGGAAUUCCAUGUGUAGCGGUGAAAUGCGCAGAGAUAUGGAGGAACACCAGUGGCGAAGGCGACUUUCUGGUCUGUAACUGACGCUGAUGUGCGAAAGCGUGGGGAUCAAACAGGAUUAGAUACCCUGGUAGUCCACGCCGUAAACGAUGAGUGCUAAGUGUUAGGGGGUUUCCGCCCCUUAGUGCUGCAGCUAACGCAUUAAGCACUCCGCCUGGGGAGUACGACCGCAAGGUUGAAACUCAAAGGAAUUGACGGGGACCCGCACAAGCGGUGGAGCAUGUGGUUUAAUUCGAAGCAACGCGAAGAACCUUACCAAAUCUUGACAUCCUUUGACAACUCUAGAGAUAGAGCCUUCCCCUUCGGGGGACAAAGUGACAGGUGGUGCAUGGUUGUCGUCAGCUCGUGUCGUGAGAUGUUGGGUUAAGUCCCGCAACGAGCGCAACCCUUAAGCUUAGUUGCCAUCAUUAAGUUGGGCACUCUAAGUUGACUGCCGGUGACAAACCGGAGGAAGGUGGGGAUGACGUCAAAUCAUCAUGCCCCUUAUGAUUUGGGCUACACACGUGCUACAAUGGACAAUACAAAGGGCAGCGAAACCGCGAGGUCAAGCAAAUCCCAUAAAGUUGUUCUCAGUUCGGAUUGUAGUCUGCAACUCGACUACAUGAAGCUGGAAUCGCUAGUAAUCGUAGAUCAGCAUGCUACGGUGAAUACGUUCCCGGGUCU
rnacentral:rRNA from 1 species